GUGGGGGAUAUUGCACAAUGGGGGAAACCCUGAUGCAGCGACGCCGCGUGUGGGAAGACGGUCCUCUGGAUUGUAAACCACUGUCCCCAGGGACGAAUCUGACGGUACCUGGGGAGGAAGCUCCGGCUAACUACGUGCCAGCAGCCGCGGUAAUACGUAGGGAGCGAGCGUUGUCCGGAAUUACUGGGUGUAAAGGGAGCGUAGGCGGGAUGGCAAGUUGGGUGUUAAAUCUACCGGCUCAACUGGUAGUCGCACUCAAAACUGCCGUUCUUGAGUGAAGUAGAGGCAGGCGGAAUUCCUAGUGUAGCGGUGAAAUGCGUAGAUAUUAGGAGGAACACCAGUGGCGAAGGCGGCCUGCUGGGCUUUUACUGACGCUGAGGCUCGAAAGUGUGGGGAGCAA
rnacentral:rRNA from 1 species